rnacentral:piRNA from 1 species
CACACUGAACCGCUACAAGAGGGCAA